AUGCACGCUGGCGGCGUGCCUAAUACAUGCAAGUCGAGCGAACAGAUGAGGAGCUUGCUCCUCUGACGUUAGCGGCGGACGGGUGAGUAGCACGUGGAUAACCUACCUAUAAGACUGGGAUAACUUCGGGAAACCGGAGCUAAUACCGGAUAAUAUAUUGAACCGCAUGGUUCAAUAGUGAAAGACGGUUUUGCUGUCACUUAUAGAUGGAUCCGCGCCGCAUUAGCUAGUUGGUAAGGUAACGGCUUACCAAGGCAACGAUGCGUGGCCGACCUGAGAGGGUGAUCGGCCACACUGGAACUGAGACACGGUCCAGACUCCUACGGGAGGCGGCAGUAGGGAAUCUUCCGCAAUGGGCGAAAGCCUGACGGAGCAACGCCGCGUGAGUGAUGAAGGUCUUCGGAUCGUAAAACUCUGUUAUUAGGGAAGAACAAAUGUGUAAGUAACUAUGCACGUCUUGACGGUACCUAAUCAGAAAGCCACGGCUAACUACGUG
rnacentral:rRNA from 1 species